rnacentral:lncRNA from 1 species
GCAACUUAGGGAAACCUUGUAUAAAAUUAAAAAAUUGAAAAAUAAAAAGCUCAGUGGUUAAGCAACCUUGGGUUCAAUCCCCAGUACCCCCCCCCAAAAAAAAAAAAGAAAAGAAAAGAAAAAAAAUUAGCACAUAGGAAACACUAUAGAAGUUAUAUUUCUACACUCCACGAUUUUAUUUCUGCCUACAUUUUAUUUAGGUGGAAUUGCCCUGAUCUUCAGCCUUCAAUUUUUCUUUCUAGGCCUCCCAAACCAUUUACACAAAUUAUUUCUGUUAAAUUUCUUUAGAGGUAAUUGCUGCAUCAUGUAUUAGUCAUACCAUUCGAUUUUUGGUCACUAAAGCUCAUUAAAUUUAUAUUUUUAAGGAAUUUCUAUGAACACUUCUGGGAUUAUUUUAGUCGUGUCUUUUAUAAAUCGAAUCAGUAUUUUCCCCUAAGUUGUAAUACCUUAACUUGACUAUAGUAUGGACAUCUUAUACUUAUGACAUAAUUCACUUCUGAUUUUGAGAUGUUUCUGCAGUCUCACUCUUGUCAGCUUGUAUUUGACCACAUACAAAAGUUUACUAUCAUCUACCUCAUUAGAGGGUCUCCUGUGCAUCUCUUUUCUGUAUUUUUUAUUAAAAUAAGGGAUCUUAUUGUUUUUAAUUGUCCACAUUGAAACUGUCCAUACAACUCACUGUGAAGUCUGGUAUUGUGAAAGGAAUGUAGCCUUGAAAUAAGAUGGACUGAGGUUUAAAUCCUAGUUUUACAUCUAACUAGCUCUAUAACUUUGAGUAAAUUAUUAACCUUCAAGUCAGAUUCCUCAUCACUGAAAGAUAAGUAAUAAUUCUUUUUAGGUUGGCUUUAAGAAAUAAUGCAUGGAAAUAGUUAAAUUACCAGUUUAAGUAAUUCAGUUAACUAUUGAUUCUAAAUUACUUGGUACUGACCUGGAAGAAAGCCCAAACUCACUGUUGUCACUGCUCCUACUCCAGCUUUCCUGCUCUUAAUCCUGUUACUCCUGUGAGUACUGCCACUUCCUGAUGGCAGGGGAUCCUAGAAUCUAUAGAAUCUUAUCGUCACUGAGUUUCAGUGGCAGUACAUUGACAUUGUGGUUAUCUGUAAUUUUGACUCACACAGUACUUUCCUCCAGACUGCUUGGUGGAUGACAUCUCAUCACAGUGCUUUAAUUGAAUCUUGUGUACAAAUUUUCUAAUGUAGAAUUGAGAAUAAUUCUAGCUUUUUCUGUCUAAAGACUGGGAAACAACACUGCCUUUUUGAAAACUGGUACAGAAUCCUAUUUAGAAGGAAAUCAUGCUUUUUUAACUUACAGAAUCCUUUUUUUGAAGAAAAAUUUAUUAUUACCAAGUAUUUAUGUCCAUAAAUCUUGGCUGUUAAUUUUGUAAGAGUGUAUAGUUCUUCUAGUUAGCAGUAGUCACAUAGCUAUUUCUUUUGUAGAACUUUGAAAUGAUUUUUCAACAAUGCCUCUCUUGAAUGUUAGAGAUAUUAUUGAACUUAGUCAUGAAAUUGCUCUUUUCUGUUUCCCUAAUCUCCAUUUUCCCUCUUUUCCAGUGUACCUACCUGUGUAGAUCAGUUGUAACAUAGAAUAGAAGUAAAGUUUUGUAAGAUACGUUUUCUUGACAAAAAGUGAGAAUAAAAGGGUAAUUCCCCUCUGGACCAUUUUUAGAGUGUAAGAGCCUGUGGUAAAUGCACAAUAACUGAAAUUUGGAAAAUUAGGCUACUUAAUGAGUUAUCUUUCUUAUUGAUUGAAUCAGAUAUCCUAAAAAGCACACUUUGAAGUGGUUUUAAAAAUUAAUUUAGUUCUUCAAGUGACUUCCAAGUUUGUCUAAGCAAAAUGCAGUGUAUUGACUAAAGGUAAAAUAUCAACCCUAGCACUUUCUCACCAACUUUGUGGUCAAGUUGCCUCAGUUCAUCUGUGAAAUGAAGUUGAUAAUAAUCUUUGAAGAUUUAAGAGAUGCACAGUGUGCUUUAAAGAUUAAAUUUGUAUAUACACUUUAUUAAAUUUCCUCUAAUUUAAAUGUACUAAGAAGAAAUAGAAAUAGAAUUCUGACUUUCCUUAAAGCUAAAGAAUCGCAAGAGAAAUAUUGGGUUUCAUCCUUAGCACGUUACUCUUUUCAUAGUAUAAUAUAGAUAAAUCUUUUCACAAGUCAUUACACUGGACACUGAUAUCCUGCCUUCAAUGUGCAAGACUCUGUGUCAGGUGUUGGAAAUGAACACAUGAAUAAAAGACAUGAUUGAUGUCAUUCACCAUGGUAAUUAUAGAAUAGGAGAAUCAAAAAUGUAGACAUGAAGUUCAUGCUGAAUUCAUAUCUUCACAGGGCCACAUAGCCAGCUGAUUUCAUAAUCAUUUAAACCAUUAUAAUUAUAUAUAUUGAAUAGCUAUAAUUUUUGUGAAAUACUAUCCCAGAAGGAAUCAGAACCUGUUCUUAAAAGUGAAAAUAUCAUUUUAUUAUACCACUCGCAACUAAACUGUUAAGUCAUUAAUUGUUUUUCAUAUAUGCAAGCAAUAAGUAAACUCUUCUAGGGGUAGAAUGACAAUGUUUUUCUCUAAGUCUUACAUUUUAAACUAUAUCAAAAUUUCUGUUAAAAAUAUUUACUCACGUUGAGUCUAUGAACAUCAAAGAAUAAGGGCUUACACCAUUGUUUUUCUUAAUUUCUGAACUUGGAAGAAUCAUUGUUUAACCCAAGUUAUAGAAUCUUAAGUGUUCAAAAUGGUCAAAAUGUCUUCAUAUAUUUAAGUUAGAAGAAGGAAGAGGAGAAGGAGGAAAAACCAAACACCAAACCACUCUGAUCUAUGAGUUUGGGCAUCUUUCUUUAACUUGAAAUGUGACUGGGGUUGGAGGUAUGAGAGAUUCUUUAACCUAGAUUCUCUCACAGUCAUUAAUAAAUCAAAUUUUUGGGAACUGGAAGAUAGUUUUUUCUUUUCAAGGUGGAUAUAACACAUUUGUUCCUCAUAUGAAGUUGCUAGUCAGUAGAUAGGAGCUGUGCAUGAAGAUGUGGUGGUUUUGUGGCCAGGCGUGGUGACAUAUUUAAUGCCUGUAAUCCCAGUGCCUGGGAAGGCUGAGACAGGAGGAUCAAGAGUUCAAAGUCUGUCUCAGCAAUAUAGCGAGGCCCUAAGCAACUUAGCAAGACCCUGGGGAUGUGGCUCAUGGUUAAGUGCCACUGGGUUCACUCUCUGAUAUAAAAUAAUACUACUAAUAACAGUGGUUCCUGGCAGUUGGGACUAAUGCCUUUGAUAACUGAUUAGCGUGAAAGAAUGGGAGAAACAGUGAGAUGCAAAGAUAAAUGACACUGUUGUGUACUUCAUCAUUUAGAACAAACCAUACCAGCUUUGGCUAGUGAUUCUGUAGUUACUGCCAUUUAAAAAAAUUUUUUUGGUCUCCUGGUCUUAAGGGUAGUUUAUAGAUUAUAAAUGAAAUGUCUAGGGUAUAAUUCAGUUUUGCCAACAAAACCACAUAACACAAUAGAUUUCUACUCUUUCAUUAAUUCUGCCUACAUCGGUGGUCUUUUUUUUUUCUUGACAUUUUCACAUGCAGAUAUUUUGUUUUCUUUGUUUGCUUGUCUGUCUUUAUCUAGUUCUGUCUUCUAUCUAGAAUGAUUUUUCUGCUUUCUUCCCUAACUUUAGAUGAUAGCUCAAAACCAGGUGUUCAGAAAUAGAUCAUUUCAUACUAGAACAAAUAAGGCUGAUCCCAGUCCAAAAAUCAAAAGAAGUAUUGAAUAUAUUGUGUUUAAGAGUAGUAUGGAAGCUUGACAGAAGAAUCAAAACAGUGGAGAUAAUUUAGGGAGUAAAAGUGGCCUGUGUUGUGCACUCUCAAGCAAGUCUUGAGCAGGAAGAUUGGAAAUAAUAAUAGGUAACAUUUAUUGAUCACAUACAAUGUGCCCUAUAGUCUUCCAAGUAUUUGAUGUUCAUUUACUCAUUUAAUUCACGCCGAUUUCUGAGAUAAUGCUAUUAUUGGCCUGAGUUUAUGGAUGAAUGAUUAUUUCCCUCCUUACAGCUCAUCUCCCCAUAUUGUGGUAUGUUUAUAGUGUGAAUGAAGCCUCAAAAGAACAUAACUAGUGUCAUUGAAUCAGAAUAUUCCUUUUAUAUGUAGCCUUAUGUUGGUCAUGUGACCUGCAGAAAAAUACAGGAAACCAUUAAUUUCAUUUAGGACUUUACAGAAAAGGGAUUAUUAUUUAAAAACAAAUCUAUUUAAACAGGUUUCUAUAGAGAAGAAAACUUACAUACUUUCAAUUUUAUUUGCUAAUGAUGUUGAAAUUGAUCACCAGUCUUUCUGUUCUCUUUGCAUUGAACUCAGAUGUCCUAAAUACUACACUACAUUUUUCUAUUAAAAAAGUACAUUUAUAGGUGAAAAGUGUAAUUACUUAAAGGCAGGUCGUUAGCUCAGAACUUUGAGCUUAGCAAAUUUGACUGUCUUCUCUAAAGCAGUUGAAUAUCUCAAAUGAUGAUUAUUUCAGCAAGUAUCUUUAAUGAAUAAGAAUUACAGGAAUGAAAAUUUUUUUCUUUCCUGAAAUGUUAAUAAUAUAUCAGUAGUUAUGUUAGAACUUAUUAACCUUAGAGUAUGCGUCUCUAGUUAUAAAAUUUUAGUUAUAAAUUUAUGAUGAUGAAAUUUAUAAAGUACAUUUCUAAUUGAUAUUAGAGUUACUUUUCUAAAUGCUUUUACUGGUUGUUAUAAGCCUGUCCCUUAAGAAGAGAAUUAUUUUAUAGUAAAAGGCACAAAACAAUAUUUGGGAUCAUAGACAUCUUUUAAAAAAAUAUUUAUUUAUUUAUUUUUAGUUGUAGGUGGACACCUUUAUUUUAUUUUUAUGUAGUGCUGAGGAUCAAACCCAGUGCCUCAUGCAUGCUAGGCAAGCACUCUACCUCUGAGCCUCAACCCCAGCCCAUCGUAGACAUCUUAAUAUUAAUUAUUCCAAUAACUUAACAUGAUCUCAUCUACCAGUUUCUUAGUAAAAUGGAGAAAUAUAACAAUUUACAUCACUAACCUCCAUUGCAGUGAUACUCAGAGGACUCAGUUUCCCCAGUGGAAAUGCCAGCAAUACCAGUUAAACAUGCUUAAUGGCUUUUAUUUUUAAUUGCUGCAUAAAACUAACUUAUUAUAAUACCCAUAUUGAAAAUGAUUAGCAUGGUAAUUUUUUUAAGAGUAUAAGAUCUUUGAUAACAUUUUAAUAGUAAACGGAAAAGAAAAUAACUGUGUGUUUUGCUGGGGAUCAAACUCAGGGCCUCAUACAUGCUAGGCAAGCACUCUACCCAGCCCCCAAAAUAUUUUAUAUUUUUAGGUGUUUUCUGGCCCAUUUGUUUCAGUUUUUUCAAAUUGAAUUUAAAAUGAUCAAAUGCUUAGAAAUAAAAAUCAGUUAUAAGAUUAAUUUAUUUCAAUGCUUCAUUAAUAUAAUAUCUAUGUUUAGACUAACAAUGUUUUUUCAUUAAACAUGUUAUUUUUAAAACAAUUAUUUAUCCAUAUGCUCCAUUAAAACAAUGAAGUUAUAUAUACUUUAUACAGUCUCAUCUUUAUUUAUAUUGUUUAGAUAAUUGAGAUAAUCACACAAUCUUUAACCUCAAAUGUAUUUGAUCAAUCUUUUGUUCAAGUUUUAUUCAGUUCAACUUGUUUAACAAAUUAAUUUUAACUUAUUGUAAUGUACUACCAGUUAUAACAGUAUGCAAAAAAAAAGGCCAUAGCCCCUUUAUCAUCAUCACCAUCAUUGUUAUUUUAGUGGUGCUGAAUAUUGAACCCAGUGCUUUGUGCAUACUGAGCACAUUCUCUACCACUGGACUAUACACUCUUUCCUUUUAUAGCCCUAACUUUUUUUAAAAAAAUUUUUAGUUGUAGAUGGACAAGAUACCUUGAUUUCAUUUCUACUUUUAUGUGGUGCUGAGGAUCGAACCCAGUGCCUCACACUUGCUAAGCAAGUGCUCUACAACUGAGCUACAACCCAGCCCCUAUAUUCCUAAUUUUUAAAAUGCAUAGGCACUUCAUAAAGAGGAAGAGUCUUUGCCAUUGCCUAGCCAUGAGAGAACGUUAUAAGAGAUGACAUUUUUGUCCUAUUAGAUAUCUUCAUUUUUGUCUAUGAAAUUUAAAAGUCAGUGUAGUUGUUGCUUGUAUUAAAUAUACUAUUUCUUAUAGUUACUGAGCCUUCAUCAAUUAACUCUUGAUUAAUGGCAUUUCAGGUCAAGUUGGCUGACCUACUUAUGUGCAUUAAAAUCGAAUUUAGUAUAUAAUAUCAAUAUUUUUUGAUGCUUAAAUUCUCCAAAUAAUAUUUUUAGUCAUCAGUUUAUGAAACAAAGGUCAUUUAGAAAAGCUAGCUGUUACAUUGUAGAUUAUUUUACAAGAUUUUUCUAGAUGGUAUAUACCUUUGUUAAUAUUGUUAAUAAGUUAUAAUAAGCAUUGUUUAGGAGUCAGGAGGUUUAUAAAGUAUAGUUAAUUGUUGAGCAGUGAUUAUGGAGGUUUUUAAGAAUAUAUUCUUCAAAAUUCUAGAUUAUUUCUGAGAUUUUACUGCUUCUAGAGUAACUUAAUUGUAAUACAUAUUGAAGUGACAUUAUUAUGGAAUUUCAUUAUAGAAAAAGGUUCUUUUCACUUUUUAAGUCCUAUUAUAAUAAAUAUUAAUGUAUAUUUUAUAUGUGUAUGUAUAUGUAUACAUAUAUGUAUAUAUACUGCUUUUUCUUUUU